UACGAACUCUGGCGGCGUGCCUAAUACAUGCAAGUAGAACGCUGCAGGAGGAGCUUGCUCUUCUGGAUGAGUUGCGAACGGGUGAGUAACGCGUAGGUAACCUGCCUGGUAGCGGGGGAUAACUCUUGGAAACGAUAGCUAAUACCGCAUAAGAGUAGAUGUUGCAUGACAUUUACUUUACAGAUGCAAUUGCAUCACUACCAUAUGCACCUGCGUUGUAUUAGCUAGUUGGUGGGGUAACGGCUUACCAAGGCGACGAUACAUAGCCGACCUGAGAGGGUGAUCGGCCACACUGGGACUGAGACACGGCCCAGACUCCUACGGGAGGCAGCAGUAGGGAAUCUUCGGCAAUGGACGGAAGUCUGACCGAGCAACGCCGCGUGAGUGAAGAAGGUUUUCGGAUCGUAAAGCUCUGUUGUAAGAGAAGAACGAGUGUGGGAGUGGAAAGUUCACACUGUGACGGUAUCUUACCAGAAAGGGACGGCUAACUACGUG
rnacentral:rRNA from 1 species